CUAUCCAACAGGAGUAUAUCUACUAGCAGCUCGCUCUAGAGUUUAACGUCACAACUCAGCGCGAGCUGCUAGCUGGAGGAAGCUAUCACUCUCUCCUCCUCAACUCACUUUCCAAGCAAAGCUAUUCACACACAUUACAUACAGGAAGCUGCACACCAAGCUGCCCACGCACACUCACUCGUUUAGGAGUUUGUAAAACGCUGAAAUGUGCGUAACUGGUGCCUCAAAGCAUUGGUUGCCAUGGCAACUUCUGGAUACUCGGAGGACCUUCAGCCUCAGCAGGCCAACGCAGUAACCAUAGCAACACCUGCUUCCACCACCACACCCUCGUCUGCAAAGACCGCACUCUUCCGGUCGGAGAUCCCACCGAGCUCUGGAACCGGUGCGUCGGCGAACCAAUCAGCCGCCGCCUCAAAGACAGGACAGGAUGCACUUUGUUCUCAAGCGCCGCCCACCAGCCAGAGCCAGAAGGCAGUGGUUCUGACCACUCCCACGCAGCACUAUGUGACCCCAGAAAUCCAGCACUCUGUGGUCCAGAAAAGUAACGGUCAGAGCAACUCGCCCCAGUACAUCAUAGUAACUGUUACAGAGGGCUCCGUUCACUCCAAUGACAGCCUGUCAGACUCCAGCCCACCUGCCCCUGGUGUUCCUACUCAGGUGGUCCAACCGGUGCAGACCACCCAACAGAGGUCAGUGUUGCAAUCGGUGUUGCAGGCAGCCAAGAGGAUUCAGACUGGCCACAUCAACAGCCUACAGUCGGUGCACAUUAACCAGGAGGUGGAGCAUGUGUACUCCGGCCAGGUGCAGUAUGUGGACGGAGGAGGAGACGCAGCUUUUACCACGUCCUCCAUUCGAUCGAGCAACUACCCUUUCUCCGACUCGCCCCUCUACUCCCAGACCCCUCCCUCCUCCUCCUCCUACUACGAGACCACGCCCAGCACUGAGUCAGACAUCACCGGCUCUGUGACCUCGCAGUCGGUUUCUGUGGCAACAGCGGGAGCCAAUAGCGGGGGAGUCGCUCCGAGUGGAGGGGGGUACAUCAUUCAGGGAGGCUACGUGUUAGGAGGAGGAGCAGGUGGAGGACAGAGUUACUCCAGCCCCAACUCUCGUGCCCCACCCGCUACUGUGCAAUGGCUGUGUGAUAACUACGAGGGGGCGGAGGGCGUGAGUUUACCUCGCUGCACCCUCUACUACCACUACCUGCUGCACUGCCAGGAGCAGAAACUAGAACCUGUCAAUGCUGCAUCCUUCGGUAAACUCAUCAGGUCUGUCUUCAUGGGGCUACGCACACGGAGAUUAGGGACCAGAGGGAACUCUAAGUACCACUACUAUGGUCUGAGGAUCAAGUCUGGUUCCCCACUGCUCAGACUGAUGGAUGAACAACAGCACAUGGCGAUGAGGCAGCAGCCUUUCUCGCAGAAAAACAGGAUAAAGCCACUUCACAAGGCACAAGGGAUCUCCAAUGGGACAUCAGGUGGGCUGGGUCAGCAGGCGGGGGCGCUGUGUGAUAUUUCAGCGCAGGUGCAACAGUAUCAGCAGUUCCUGGAAGCAUCAAGGCCGCUGCCGGACUUUGUGGACAUUGAUCUGCAAGAGCGAACCCUGCCUGAUGGGAUCCUUCUAGAACACCUCAAGGCCUUUCAGACUCUCUACAGAGAGCACUGUGAGGCCAUUCUGGACGUGAUGGUCAACCUUCAGUUCACUCUUGUGGAGACACUAUGGAAAUCCUUCUGGAGGUUCUGCCACAGCAGCGACGCAGAGUCACUCAACCUGCACGACGAGUCUGAGAAGCGUCUGCCCAAGUCGUGCCUGGUGGUGCUGUGUAAGUACGAGCCAGUGCUGCGCUGGACGAAAGAGUGCGACAACCUGCUCUACCAGACUCUGGUGGAGAUCCUCAUCCCUGAUGUGCUGAGACCCAUCCCUAGUGCCUUAACUCAGGCCAUCCGCAACUUUGCCAAGAGUCUGGAGAGUUGGUUGUCAGGCGCCAUGAUGAACAUCCCAGAAGAGAUGGUUCGCAUAAAGGUGGUGUGUGUGGGCUCCUUCUCCCAGACGCUGCGCCGCUAUACCAGCCUGAACCACCUGGCCCAAGCAGCCCGUGCCGUUCUCCAGAACUCCGCCCAGAUCAACCAGAUGCUCUCAGACCUCAACAGGGUUGAUUUCACUAACGUACAGGAGCAGGCAUCCUGGGUAUGUCAGUGUGAAGACAGUGUGGUACAGCGGCUGGAGCAGGACUUUAAAAUGACUCUGCAGCAGCAAAACUCUCUGGAGCAGUGGGCCACCUGGCUGGAUGGUGUUGUCUCUGAGGCCCUAAAGCCCUACGAGCACAACCCCGUCGCUCUACCAAAAGCUGCCAAGGUCUUCCUGCUCAACUGGUCCUUCUAUAGCUCUAUGGUAAUCCGAGACCUGACUCUGCGCAGCGCUGCCAGCUUUGGCUCCUUCCACCUGAUCCGCUUGCUGUAUGAUGAGUACAUGUACUACCUGAUAGAACACAGGGUGGCCCAGGCUAAAGGAGUGACACCCAUUGCUGUCAUGGGAGAAUUUGCCAGCACCAUCAAGAGCCGAAUCUCUCCGGACAUGGAGAAAGAAGAAGAAGAGGACGACGAGGAAGAGGAGAGCGACGACGAGGGCGGGGAUCUCGUGUUGCAGUCCAGCUCCCUGAGCGCGAUGGAUGACGACAAGGACUCGAUGGAGCCGCCCGCCAAGCUGCCCAGGACGACUUUCAAUCUGCACACUCUGACCGACAGCUCACCACCUUAGCCGCUCAUUUAGCAGAAUUAUCACACACACACACACACACACACACACACACACACACAUUACACACAUUACACACACCUUUGCUUUAAGUUUAACAUCAUGUCAUCUCAUUCUGUCACCCUGUGUACGCUUCGGGUUUGCAAACAGCUGAUGUUUGGUGUUGAGCGUGUUUUCAUCUGGUGUGUGUGUGUGUGUGUGUGUGUGUGUGUGUAAGCGUGUAAGCAUGUGAGAAAGUGGGAGAGCUCUUUGCCAAUUUUGUACUUUUGUGCUGCUGCCAUUCUUUUCCUCUCUGCCUUCACCUGAUAUUUUACAGUCCUCCCCUCGUUCCCUGUGCCUUCCCUGUUUCUCCAGUGGCUAGCUGCCGGUAGCCGCUCCUGUCCAGCCUCAGCUAUAUAUUGUAUACAGUGUUUAUAUAUUCUCGAUUCCCUCCUGCCCCGCCUUAACCACUGACCUGAUUGCUGUGGAGAGCUGAGAAGACUCCAGUGUUCUUCGUUGUACUCUAAAACUCAAAAAUAUAUCCCUCACCUUGCCUUUAAAGCAACGACUAUGCAGCGGAGCUGAAUUUAAAUGAACGAAACUGUCUGGAAUAUUAUUAUUUUUUAAUCUCAGAGUAGCAUCUGGAAUGAUACUUCACCAUAUAUUUUGUUGGCACAUGGAUGUCGCUUGCCAGCUAUUUGUGGAUGCCAUAUUUUAAUUCCUGUCAUUUCUUAUUAAUUUGGCCAAUUAACUGAUACCCUGUGCCUUUGAGAGAUUUCUUGCCCCUGGAAGAAAAAAAAAGCUUGUAUUCUAUAUAUUCUGUAUCAGUGGAUUAAUAAAUGAAGGUCCUGUGAAGUAGU